rnacentral:rRNA from 1 species
AAGACCUUGCGUUUUGGAGCGGCCGAUGCCUGAUUAGCUUGUUGGUAAGGUAAAAGCUUACCAAGGCUUCGAUCAGUAGCUGGUCUGAGAGGACGACCAGCCACACUGGGACUGAGACACGGCCCAGACUCCUACGGGAGGCAGCAGUGGGGAAUUUUGGACAAUGGGGGCAACCCUGAUCCAGCCAUGCCGCGUGAGUGAAGAAGGCCUUCGGGUUGUAAAGCUCUUUCAGCCGGAACGAAACGGUUACGGUUAAUACCCGUGAUUACUGACGGUACCGGAAGAAGAAGCACCGGCUAACUACGUGCCAGCAGCCGCGGUAAUACGUAGGGUGCAAGCGUUAAUCGGAAUUACUGGGCGUAAAGCGUGCGCAGGUGGUUUUGUAAGUCAGAUGUGAAAUCCCCGGGCUUAACCUGGGAACU